UCGAUUGACAUUUCUAUUGGAUUCUGGCGUGCAUCCGGAAUUUUAUAAAGUUAGAUGGUGAAGACCAUAUAUAUGGUACCAGUCCUCAGUGAACAUUCUUUAAAAAACCACGUGAAUUAAAAGCAAAUCGAAUUGAGUUUUGAAUUAGAUCUUUAUAUUUGAUGAGAAAGUAUUUCGUGAAUAAACAACCGCAGCGCAAGCAUGGUGGAGGAUCGAAAUGUGUUGCAUUCGUCGGUGUGGAAGGCAUGUUACUCAGCUCGAUAAUGUGAAACCGCGUGGUAACACAAGAGGAUCGAUAUAAAUGAAUAGUUGGCUGUUCACCGUUGUGCAGACGAGGACACGUAUAGCCGAUCCGAUAUGGACGAUUCGGAGCAAUAUUUUACCGUAAUCGGGUGCUGAUAUAACACGGUGGUGUGCGCACGAUGGGCUGAAAUAGUAAUCAAUGGAAAUGCUUCGGCUCGAGUCGUUCCAUACCACCAAUUUCUGCCUAGGGUGGUCUACUGGUACAAUGUCGUUGAUUUACAUCAUGUGCGGCAUGAUCAAUUAUAUACUGAGACCGGAAUUUCGUACGAAAAAAUGUGGUCCGAGCACCUACGAUGAAAAAUGAUUUGGAUGAAAAAUAUUUGUAAAAUCAAUUUACAACACGCGAUCAAUAAAAAUAAAGAAUCGAUAUUUGUUCAUUUGAAUGGCA